UUCAAAAUUCAAACUCUCUAUCUCUAAGGCUCUCUUUCUCUCAUGAAAUUAGGGCAAAUUCCGAAGUUGAACGAGAGCAUUUGCAGCUGUACGAAUUGAGGUUUUUCAUCAAGAGUUUUGCAAUUCAAAUUGCGUCGAUUUACUGCAUUUUCUUGUUUUUUUUUUUCUGGUUACAUUUUCUUAAGGAUAUUUUCGGCAGGCUUUUCUUGGAGUUCAUUUGUUUUACUGGCGAUAAGGUCAGUUGCUGGUUUGGCUCUGAUUAAUUUUCAUUAUUUUGUGAGGUUUUUGUUUGGGUUAGUGGUAUCUGAGAAGAAACUGGAGGGGGAUUUUCUUAGGUGAGUCUCUGACUUCAUUUGUGGUUCAUUUGUUUGCUUUUAAUGGCCUCUAUGCUAGGGAUUUAGGCUAGAUUUUCUGAUUAUUGAACAUUUAGGUUUUAGUUGGUUGAAUUGGCAUUCGGUGCCUUUGCAGACAAUGAGGCUAGAUUCAAACUCUCUAUCUCUAAGUGCCUUGGCUGCUCUGUCACUUACUAAAAGUUUUCCAGCUGCGAAUUUCUUGAAGUUUAGGUUGGUGUUUGUGGUAUAUUAGAAGGAUAUUGUAGGGGAUUAGCAAGUUUUAUACUUGAGCAGAUCAUUGAUGAUCAGUGGUUUAAAAGAAACACUCAAUUUGGGACUUUCUAAGUUACCAAGCCCUAGUUAGGUCUGACAGACUUGGUUGAUUCCUCAAAUAAUAAUAAAAUAUUGAACUGUUCAUACACGGCUGGUUCCCAUGGGUUCUGUACCUAGCAGCUUUGCAGCAGCUUUUCCGAGUCAUAGUAACUCGGGUGAGUCCCAAUGGAACUUGCCGAGUUUUAUUUUACUGUUGAUGACGAUUAGGUCAAAAUUGGCUGAUGUGGUUUCUGGCCCAUUUGUAGAUGAAGGGCAGUUCAUGGUUUGAAAUUUUAUUUUAAUCAUCAAAUAGCUUCUCAUUAGUAAUGCUAGCAUAUCACAAUGUUAAUAUCCAAGCAACAAGAAGAUGUGAUGGUAGCAUAUCAUAGUGGUAGCAUUUUUAUAUGGUUUCAAUUUGAAAUUUGUUUGGUCGUAGUUAGUACUUGCAUCGGGAUUCUAGCAUCUGAGAAGAAACUUGCAAAGCUUAGUUUGUAAAUGGUUGACAUGAGUUUCCUUUCCUCUAUUUUUCAAUAAUAUUUUAUCAAAUUUUCAUUUUGUGGCUCCAUUUGUUAAGUCAUAAUUAUUGCAGUUAUUCUAGAAUUUGAUAAUGUUUUGGAGGCAUACUUUGGAGUGAGAGUGAUUUUUGGGAUAUAUGGAUGCACUUUGCACUUGAGAAGUGAUGGUCGGUGUUAGGACAAAGAGGAAUGCUACCAUGGAGAGUAGGAGAAAUCAAGUCACUACUCUGGCCCUUCUGAUGGGUGCAGUGAGACUACAAACAAUCUGCAGUUAAAUUCACAGGGGAGGAUGAGUGGUCCUGCGAAAUGUUCGACUUACGGUGGGUGGAUGCCUAAAGAGAAUGAAAUAUUGAGGAAAGCUGUUCACUGCUAUAACGGCAGGCAGUGGAAAGAGAUAGGAUGUUGUUUGCAUCUGACAUGGAUGGCCAUCAUUACUCGUCAGCUUCUCAGCAUCCCUCUCUAUGCAGCAAUGCAGCACGGUGUGCACCAUUUCAAUUGAAGAUCAUCAUCACCAUUUUAAUUAAAGAUAAAAUAUAUACCUUUUUUACCUAUCGCACCGAGGUCCAAUGCUAUCAUAGGUGGCACAAGGUUUUAAAUCCUGAUCUUGUGAAAGGGCAAUGGUCAAAAGAAGGGGAUGACAUGAUUAUUGAGCUUGUCCUGCAACAUGGGGCCAAAAAUUGGUCAACCAUUGCACAAGCAUUACUUGGAUGGAAUGGAAAGCAGUGUCGUGAAAGAUAUUCAAUGGAAUCGCUGUAUCAUUGAAAUAGCGCAGUGCAAGUCCUGCCCCAGUCUCAAAGAUGUGGCACAAUCAUUUGAAUCCUGCAAUACACAAAGAGGCAUGGACUCCACAUGAGGAGUUGGCACUAAUCCGUGCUCAUCAACAGCAUGGAAACAAGUGGGUGAAGUUGGCAAAAUUCUUACCUGGAAGGACCAACAAUGCAAUCAAGAAUAAUUGGAACAGCUCCUUGAAAAAGAAGCUAGCUUCAUAUGCGGGUUCUGGUUUACUUGGUCAGUUUCCGGGUUAUCUCUUAUGGACCCAGCUAUCCCAUGUGUCGCAUCUUUCUCUUCUACAUGGAAUCAACCAACCGUGGGGGAUGACAGUCUCAAGGAUGGAGUUGGAAUGGAUCAUAUGUCAGAAUGUAGUCAAGAAUCAGUUUCAGUUGGGUGCUUCCAAUCUGAACAUUGUGGCUGAUACAUCUGUUCCAGCCAUUCACGAUGCAUCGGAGUUGAAGCUAACAAGAAGGAUGUAGCUGAGUAUCUUGCAUCACCAUGUUCAAAGGAUUAUUAUGUACCUGCCUUGAGCGAUGUAGCUGCUAUUAGAAGUCAGUUUCCUGAGAUCAAAGGAGUGCUUGGAGGGUGCAAAAUAUCUGACCUCAUUGAUUUUUACAUUUACAUGAUUGCAUAGGUCUGGCAGUCUUCAACAUCCACUGCACGUUGAGCUUGUGAAACUGACGCUCGUGCACGGAGUGACACAAACAUGUCAAAUUUGGUAUCAGAUGAUAACUUACAACACAUUCUUGUGGCAUUGAUGAAAAUCAUACACCACAUUCUGAAAAUUUGGAUUCUGAAGCUGUCUUAUGAGCAGUCUCGUAUUCCAACUUUGGACCUCCCCAAUUGUGAUCUGGAAGCAUGUGAUGGUGACCCCCAACAAGCAUAUAGCCAUCUUGGUAUUCGGCAGCAAAUAAUGUUCUAUUCGCUAGAUUGUUCUACGCCUUAUUGCCUAUGGGAUUCUCCUUGUGAGGGAAGUCUAGAUGCUUAUUUGAAGAAUGCGGCUAAAAGCUUUGGUUCUAGGCCUUCCAUUUUAAAGAAACGGCCACGCGAUCCUUGACCUACCCAAUAUUCUAUCCGUUAUUUUCUGGCUGUAUUAUCUUUAACACCUAUGCUGGAAGUAAAGUGUGACAAGGAGGCAGUGAGGGAGUUAUACAAAAAAAGUGACUCAAUGGUCACGUAUUCCCCCAUUUUAUUUCAUUUUGUGAAUUGUCGACACUGGCAUGGCAUGAGAAACUGUAAAGCAUUUUUUUGGACUAUUGAGGUUUUUGUAUAGGCACCUGGUUGUGGGUUGCCUAUUUUUUGUAUACUGCCAUUACUUGUAUUACUCCAUUGCUAAAUAUAUAACAGUUAACAAAAGAAAAAAAAUAAAAGAAAGAAUACACCAAGUUUUAUUUCAUACGAUCAUACCACUUCUGCUGCUGCUGCUUUCCGUAGGUGGGUAUUGAAUUUUAAUUGCACUUUGACUAACC